rnacentral:sRNA from 1 species
UGACAACAGCCUCGAUCUCACCUUGUUU